UACGGGGGAUGCAAGCGUUAUCCGGAAUCAUUGGGCGUAAAGCGCCUGUAGGUUGUUUAAUAAGUCUGUUGUUAAAGACUAGGGCUCAACCCUAGAAAAGCAAUGGAAACUGUUAGACUAGAGUAUGGCAGGGGUAGAGGGAAUUUCUAGUGUAGCGGUGAAAUGCGUAGAGAUGGGAAGGAACAUCAGUGGCGAAGGCGCUCAACUGGGCCAUAACUGACACUCAGGGACGAAAGCUAGGGUAGCGAAAGGG
rnacentral:rRNA from 1 species